UACGAAGGGGCCUAGCGUUGUUCGGAAUCACUGGGCGUAAAGCGCACGUAGGCGGCUGUGUCAGUCAGGGGUGAAAUCCCGGGGCUCAACCUCGGAACUGCCUUUGAUACAGCACGUCUCGAGUCCGGAAGAGGUGGGUGGAAUUCCUAGUGUAGAGGUGAAAUUCGUAGAUAUUAGGAAGAACACCGGUGGCGAAGGCGGCCCACUGGUCCGGUACUGACGCUGAGGUGCGAAAGCGUGGGGAGCAAACAGG
rnacentral:rRNA from 1 species